rnacentral:rRNA from 1 species
GCGCUAGCGUCGGUGGAGUCACCAGUGAAAUACCACCCUUGCGCGACUUCGACUCUAACGGCUGUCCGUGAUCCGGCAGCCGGACAUUGCCAGGUGGGCAGUUUGACUGGGGCGGUC